rnacentral:rRNA from 1 species
GUAUUUUGACUGUACAAAGGUAGCAUAAUCAUUAGUCAUUUAAUUGAUGACUUGUAUGAAGGAUUGGAUGAGAUAUAAACUGUCUCUUAAUUAAAUAUAGAAUUUAAUUUUUUAAUUAAAAAGUUAAAAUAAUUUAAAAAGACGAGAAGACCCUAUAGAGUUUUAUAGGUAAUUUAAUUAAGAUUAUUUAAUAAAAUAAAAUUAAAAUUAAUUUACUUAUUUUGUUGGGGUGACAGAAAAAUACAAAUAACUUUUUUUAUAAUUAAAACAUUUAUAAGUGAUUAAAUGAUCCAAUAUUAUUGAUUAUAAGAAAAAAUUACCUUAGGGAUAACAGCGUAAUUUUUUUUUUUAGUUCGUAUAAGAAAAAGAGUUUGCGACCUCGAUGUUGGAUUAAGAUAAAAUUUAAAUGCAGAAG